rnacentral:rRNA from 1 species
AGAGUUUGAUCAUGGCUCAGAUUGAACGCUGGCGGAAUGCUUUACACAUGCAAGUCGGACGGCAGCACGGGUGCUUGCACCUGGUGGCGAGUGGCGAACGGGUGAGUAACACAUCGGAAUGUACCCAGUCGUGGGGGACAACGAGUCGAAAGAUUCGCUAAUACCGCAUACGACCUACGGGGGAAAGCAGGGGAUCGCAAGACCUUGCGCGAUUGGAGCGGCCGAUGUCUGAUUAGCUAGUUGGUGGGGUAAAGGCCUACCAAGGCGACGAUCAGUAGCGGGUCUGAGAGGAUGAUCCGCCACACUGGGACUGAGACACGGCCCAGACUCCUACGGGAGGCAGCAGUGGGGAAUUUUGGACAAUGGGGGCAACCCUGAUCCAGCCAUUCCGCGUGGGUGAAGAAGGCCUUCGGGUUGUAAAGCCCUUUCGGCCGGAGCGAAACGGCAGGCUCUAACAUAGCCUGUUAAUGACGGUACCGGCAGAAGAAGCACCGGCUAACUACGUGCCAGCAGCCGCGGUAAUACGUAGGGUGCGAGCGUUAAUCGGAAUUACUGGGCGUAAAGCGUGCGCAGGCGGCGCUGUAAGACAGAUGUGAAAUCCCCGGGCUUAACCUGGGAACUGCAUUUGUGACUGCAGUGCUAGAGUGCGUCAGAGGGGGGUGGAAUUCCACGUGUAGCAGUGAAAUGCGUAGAGAUGUGGAGGAACACCGAUGGCGAAGGCAGCCCCCUGGGAUGACACUGACGCUCAUGCACGAAAGCGUGGGGAGCAAACAGGAUUAGAUACCCUAGUAGUCC